UAUCUCACCAACUGUGAAUGCAAUGAAAAGAGCAGCAAGGAAUUUGGUGAGCGAGUAAUCAAGAUAAGUAUGCUGAGGAAGACACCCUCGCCUCUCUAACAAAGUCAAGAUAGUAGGCCAUGUCCCCAAGAAGAAAAGGGCCAAAAGCACGCAAACUAUGGCACCCGCCUUACUCUCCAACAAGUACAUUUCCAACUGCAACUGUUUAGAGAUUAAUUUAUAACUAGAAUAUCAAAUUAAUAUCACAAAGGCACAAAGGCACACGAAAAUCAAAUUAAUAUCAAUCAACAGCAAAAGCAACCAGCAGGCAUAUGAACAAACAAACAAGCAAACAUCUAAUUACCAAGCAAUGAAGAAAAUCCUGCUCUUGGGGACAUUGCCUUCGGUCAAGAACUCGAAAUCAUAUAUAGCAUAGCGGCACUCAUUAUGAGGGAGGCAAGCAGCGAAAUCUUCGUAGCCUUGAGCUGGCUCACCAAGCUUCUCCACAAUGACUUGCUUUUGAUUCUCCUCAAUCUUGAAAACUAUGAACCUGUGAGUCCUUUUUGUCUUGAGUUCCAAAAACCGCAACUUGCAGGUUCAAAGUUUUCAA